rnacentral:rRNA from 1 species
GACGGCCAUACCACCCUGAACGUGCCCAAUCUCGUCUGAUCUCAGAAGCUAAGCAGGGUCAGGCCUGGUUAGUAUUUGGAUGGGAGACCACCUGGGAAUACUGGCUGCUGUAGGCU